GGGUUGGCUCAGUGGUUAGAGCUUAGGUCUCGUAACCGAAAGGUCGCAGGAUCGAAUACCGCUAGAGGCUCA
rnacentral:tRNA from 1 species